GGGGCCACAGCUCAGUGGUAGAGCCCCUGGCUGGCAAGCAGAAGGUCCGCAGGUUCAAUCCCCACCUGGCAUCU